GUUUCUAAUUAUUCUUAACUUUGAAAGUUUUGAUUGGGGUUCCCCCUAGAAUCU
rnacentral:tRNA from 1 species